GCUGCGGGCCCUGUGGGCUUCGAGCCACGGACAACCAAGUUCCCUCUAGGCUGGGACCGAGUUCCCUGGCUAGCGCAAGGAGAGUGGUAGAGGGGGCACGGAACUGGAAGAGCAGCCUUGGGCCCAGAAAGGCGGCGCUUCAGCCUUCGGGAAGCAAGGAGCAUUUCUGCCACCCGAGUUGCCGUUUAAUUAGUCUCCUGGGCGCCGCGUCUCUCCUCCGGGUCAGAGGUUCCGAGAUUUUUCUUAGAAAAUUGCUCUCUGGGCCUAGUUCUAGUCCAGCAUGGCCCAAAGAUGAAAUUGAAGAGUGAAAGGGAUUCCAGCGGGAACAGCUGCAGAAAUACUGAGGCGACGAAAAACACUUUUUAGACACACGAUGUGACACCCAGGCCAGUGAAAACGGACUGAAGGAGUCAGAGGGCUUUAUCCUAACAUUCGACAACUCCAGAAAGUCACUUCCUCAUUCUCUCCUCUUCUUUUUCUUCCUCUUCUUUUCUCUCCUGCUCUUUCACCCUCUCAGAAAUAC
ensembl:lncRNA